GGUUAAGCGACUAAGCGUACACGGUGGAUGCCCUGGCAGUCAGAGGCGAUGAAGGACGUACUAAUCUGCGAUAAGCGUCGGUAAGGUGAUAUGAACCGUUAUAACCGGCGAUUUCCGAAUGGGGAAACCCAGUGUGAUUCGUCACACUAUCAUUAACUGAAUCCAUAGGUUAAUGAGGCGAACCGGGGGAACUGAAACAUCUAAGUACCCCGAGGAAAAGAAAUCAACCGAGAUUCCCCCAGUAGCGGCGAGCGAACGGGGAGCAGCCCAGAGCCUGAAUCAGUGUGUGUGUUAGUGGAAGCGUCUGGAAAGGCGCGCGAUACAGGGUGACAGCCCCGUACACAAAAAUGCACAUACUGUGAGCUCGAUGAGUAGGGCGGGACACGUGGUAUCCUGUCUGAAUAUGGGGGGACCAUCCUCCAAGGCUAAAUACUCCUGACUGACCGAUAGUGAACCAGUACCGUGAGGGAAAGGCGAAAAGAACCCCGGCGAGGGGAGUGAAAAAGAACCUGAAACCGUGUACGUACAAGCAGUGGGAGCACGCUUAGGCGUGUGACUGCGUACCUUUUGUAUAAUGGGUCAGCGACUUAUAUUCUGUAGCAAGGUUAACCGAAUAGGGGAGCCGAAGGGAAACCGAGUCUUAACUGGGCGUUAAGUUGCAGGGUAUAGACCCGAAACCCGGUGAUCUAGCCAUGGGCAGGUUGAAGGUUGGGUAACACUAACUGGAGGACCGAACCGACUAAUGUUGAAAAAUUAGCGGAUGACUUGUGGCUGGGGGUGAAAGGCCAAUCAAACCGGGAGAUAGCUGGUUCUCCCCGAAAGCUAUUUAGGUAGCGCCUCGUGAAUUCAUCUCCGGGGGUAGAGCACUGUUUCGGCAAGGGGGUCAUCCCGACUUACCAACCCGAUGCAAACUGCGAAUACCGGAGAAUGUUAUCACGGGAGACACACGGCGGGUGCUAACGUCCGUCGUGAAGAGGGAAACAACCCAGACCGCCAGCUAAGGUCCCAAAGUCAUGGUUAAGUGGGAAACGAUGUGGGAAGGCCCAGACAGCCAGGAUGUUGGCUUAGAAGCAGCCAUCAUUUAAAGAAAGCGUAAUAGCUCACUGGUCGAGUCGGCCUGCGCGGAAGAUGUAACGGGGCUAAACCAUGCACCGAAGCUGCGGCAGCGACGCUUAUGCGUUGUUGGGUAGGGGAGCGUUCUGUAAGCCUGUGAAGGUGUGCUGUGAGGCAUGCUGGAGGUAUCAGAAGUGCGAAUGCUGACAUAAGUAACGAUAAAGCGGGUGAAAAGCCCGCUCGCCGGAAGACCAAGGGUUCCUGUCCAACGUUAAUCGGGGCAGGGUGAGUCGACCCCUAAGGCGAGGCCGAAAGGCGUAGUCGAUGGGAAACAGGUUAAUAUUCCUGUACUUGGUGUUACUGCGAAGGGGGGACGGAGAAGGCUAUGUUGGCCGGGCGACGGUUGUCCCGGUUUAAGCGUGUAGGCUGGUUUUCCAGGCAAAUCCGGAAAAUCAAGGCUGAGGCGUGAUGACGAGGCACUACGGUGCUGAAGCAACAAAUGCCCUGCUUCCAGGAAAAGCCUCUAAGCAUCAGGUAACAUCAAAUCGUACCCCAAACCGACACAGGUGGUCAGGUAGAGAAUACCAAGGCGCUUGAGAGAACUCGGGUGAAGGAACUAGGCAAAAUGGUGCCGUAACUUCGGGAGAAGGCACGCUGAUAUGUAGGUGAAGCGACUUGCUCGUGGAGCUGAAAUCAGUCGAAGAUACCAGCUGGCUGCAACUGUUUAUUAAAAACACAGCACUGUGCAAACACGAAAGUGGACGUAUACGGUGUGACGCCUGCCCGGUGCCGGAAGGUUAAUUGAUGGGGUCAGCGCAAGCGAAGCUCUUGAUCGAAGCCCCGGUAAACGGCGGCCGUAACUAUAACGGUCCUAAGGUAGCGAAAUUCCUUGUCGGGUAAGUUCCGACCUGCACGAAUGGCGUAAUGAUGGCCAGGCUGUCUCCACCCGAGACUCAGUGAAAUUGAACUCGCUGUGAAGAUGCAGUGUACCCGCGGCAAGACGGAAAGACCCCGUGAACCUUUACUAUAGCUUGACACUGAACAUUGAGCCUUGAUGUGUAGGAUAGGUGGGAGGCUUAGAAGUGUGGACGCCAGUCUGCAUGGAGCCGACCUUGAAAUACCACCCUUUAAUGUUUGAUGUUCUAACGUUGACCCGUAAUCCGGGUUGCGGACAGUGUCUGGUGGGUAGUUUGACUGGGGCGGUCUCCUCCUAAAGAGUAACGGAGGAGCACGAAGGUUGGCUAAUCCUGGUCGGACAUCAGGAGGUUAGUGCAAUGGCAUAAGCCA
rnacentral:rRNA from 1 species